rnacentral:rRNA from 1 species
CCUACGGGUGGCAGCAGUGGGGAAUAUUGGACAAUGGGCGAAAGCCUGAUCCAGCCAUGCCGCGUGUGUGAAGAAGGCCUUCGGGUUGUAAAGCACUUUCAGUGGGGAAGAAAGCCUUGGGGCUAAUACCCUCGAGGAAGGACAUCACCCACAGGAGAAGCACCGGCUAACUCCGUGCCAGCAGCCGCGGUAAUACGGAGGGUGCGAGCGUUAAUCGGAAUUACUGGGCGUAAAGCGCGCGUAGGCGGUCUGAUAAGCCGGUUGUGAAAGCCCCGGGCUCAACCUGGGAACGGCAUCCGGAACUGUCAGGCUAGAGUGCAGGAGAGGAAGGUAGAAUUCCCGGUGUAGCGGUGAAAUGCGUAGAGAUCGGGAGGAAUACCAGUGGCGAAGGCGGCCUUCUGGACUGACACUGACGCUGAGGUGCGAAAGCGUGGGUAGCAAACAGGAUUAGAUACCCUAGUAGUC